rnacentral:lncRNA from 1 species
CGGCGAAAGAAUCCUGAUCUUUGCCACCGAGCGCAACUUGAGCUGUCUGGCUCACGCGACUACGUGGUUCGCGGACAAGACCUUGAAAGUGACCCCGGCACAGUUCUACUAACUGUACACGGAGCAUGCCACAGUCAACGGCGUGGUAAAGCCAAUGGUUUACUGCUUGCUGCCCAACAAAUCUGAAGCUACCUACAAAAGGUUUUUCGACGUCGUUCUGAGUCACAUGGGGGGCCAACUGCCUUGAGGUGGCUUACACGGACUUCAAGAUAGCGGCCAUCAACGAUACAGGGAUGUUUUUUUCAGCUCAGACAAUUCAGAUGACGAGUUUGCUGUUCUGCAUUGGCCUUCUUGCGAAUCGCCGACAUUCCCG